GUAAGCUUUCCAUAAGGUUUCCUCCUUUGUGGUUUUCUCAGCAGGGAGGGCCUGGAAGGAGGGAGAUCUGAGGCCUGAAAGGGGUAGGCACAGGGGUUUACUUGGAGGGACAGGGGUCUUGUGCAUGGAGCUGAGCUGUUCCUGAACAUUCCCUCGCAGCCCCCCAGAGACCAUGUGGCUCCAUCCCUCAUCCUCAUACCUGGAGGCCUGCCCACCCUUCCUUCCACCCUCCUCCCUGUGUGUCUCACCUCACACAGGGACUGGAGGAGCAAACCAUAAAGAGAACAAGUCUCAGCCAGUAGCUCAGCUCAGGGGAGAGGCUCUCAGCUGAGUCCCCACUGAACAUUCUGGGGUAUAGGGUCUCUAAAUCACCUCCUUCUUGGGAUUGAUUCCUGAGCUGCCAGAACCCAACAGAAGGCAAGUUUCCUGCUAUAAGUUCCUCUUUCCUUCUUGAUGAGGACGGACACUUCAGAGCCAAAGAGGAAACGAAUCCCAUCUGUUCUGAGCCCCCAAGCACAGUUCAAGAGGACAGGCUGGGGAGUGGAGGAAGGGGCGGUGAAGAGAAAAAUAAGAAGACUGGAACAUCCAGCCACACACGGAGGGCAGGAAGCCACCUGAUGAGAGAGCCAGGGUGUGGCAGAAGUCGCCAAGGAAUCCUUCUGUUCCCGACACACGCCUACAGCACUCGCUCAAGAUGGAGCCUGCUGACUCUGUCUAAGGCCCUGUGGCCCUUGGCAUAGGUUUCAGGACAGCAGUCCUGUCAGGGCUGUGGACCUCACACCUCUAUGUAAUGUGAAGGGCACCCUCUGGAGUUGUGGGACUUGGCAGUAGUGUUACUGCACUGGCCUGCAAGUCCCCAUCCAUUACUGCCACCCAGCUCAGACACAGCUCACCCAUUCACAUACACAAAAAUGGACACAUUGAGAGGGAAACCCACAUUAAAGUAGGGAGAAGAUGGAGGGCCCUCUGACCUCCUCCCAUCAGGCACGUGUGCCUCCUCUACUCAGUGCCUGCAUCCACCUCUGUAUGGGUACCCAUCCUCUAUUCCCCUCCCACUCCAAUGGAUGCCAGGGAUGGAAGGACAGAUGGCUGUGAAACUUAUCUUCUUAUUUAGAUUAAAUUCCAGACUUUCCUAUUUUUAGAAAAACAAAUUCCUUUUGUAUUUCCAAGUGGUAAAAAUGGCCCGAGCUGUCAUCUAGGACAGUCAGCAGCCAACUCAAAGUUGUCUGCAGUGUCAUGAUUUGGAUAUUACCCUGGCGAGACUACUUCUAGUGUCAAGCGGGUGAUCAGUCUAGGUGCCAAAUUUUAAGAGGGUCAUUGACGUCCUGAGAGCUUCCAGAGGAGGGUGACCAGGACAAUGAAAGGUUCGAAAAACUGGGUCAUUGAAAAAAGUACUGAAAUAAGCUAGGGACUUUUUCUUUUUCUUUUUGGUCUAGAGAAUAUUUGAGCUAUAUUAAGAACAUGUUGAAAUAUUUGGAUGAAGAGUUACACCCUUAUUCUAUUUUUCCCAGAUGACAGAAUUUGAAUCAAUAGGUAGAAGUUACAGCGAAACAGAUUUCAGUUGAAUAUUUAGAAACUUUCUUAUAACUUAAUUCUGUAUGAUAUGGAAUAAGCUUCCCAUCACUGUGCCUAUGCAAGCCAAGGAUGAAAGACUGUCUGUCAGGGAUACUGUAGAUAAGAUUAUUGUACUAGAUAGGAACAUGGACUAGUCUAAAAUUACUGAGAAGCUUUAGAAAAAUGUGGCUUUCUGGGUAGCAGAGAUUCUGCAUUGGUAAGUCUGAGGCUUAGAAUUUGUAUUUCCAAAAAACCCCAUCAGCUAUAAAACUCUCAGAAGAAAACGUAGGGGAAAAGCUGCAUGGCGUUAGAUUUUGCAGUGAUUUCUUAGAUAUGACACUCAAAGCAUAGCCAACAAAAGAAAAAAACAGAUAAAAUGGAUUUCAUCUAAAUAAAAAGCUUUUGUGCAUCAAAGGAUACAUCUACAGAAUGAAAAGGAAACCCAAUACACAGAAUGAAAGAAAAUAUCUCCAAAUCAUACAUGUGAUAAAAGGUUCAUAUCUAGCAUAUAUAAAGAACUCUUAACACUCAAAAAGAAAUUAAACAACACAAUUUAAAAAUGGGCAAAGGACUUGAAUAGAUAUCUCUCCAAAGAAGAUGUACAAAUAGCUAAUAAGUACAUAAAGCUGCUCCAUAUUACUAAUCACUACAGAAAUCAAAACCACAAUGAGAUAACCACUUCGCCUCCAUCAGGAUGGGUUUUUUCUUUUUUUGAGUUGGAGUCUCGCUCUGUCGCCCAGGCUGGAGUGCAGUGGUGCAAUCUCGACUCUCUGCAACCUCCGCCUCCUGGGUUAAAGCAAUUCUCCUGUGUCAGCCUCCCGAAUAGCUGGUAUUACAGGCACGCACCACCACGCCAGCUAGUUUUUGUAGUUUUGGUAGAGAUGGGGUUUCACCCCACACCAGUUGGCCGGACUGGUCUCCAACUCCUGACCUCAAGUGAUCUACCCAACCCAGCCUCCCAAAGUGCUGGGAUUACAGGUGUGAGCCACCGCGCCUGGCCAGGAUGGCUACUAUAAAUACAAACAAAACAGAAAAUAGUAAAUGUUGGGGAGAAUUCGGAGAAAUUAGAACCCUCAUUCAUUGCUGGUAGAAAUAUCAAAUGGUGCAGCCAUUGUGGAAAACGGUAUGGUGGUUCCUCAAAACAAACAAACAAACAAACAAACAAAAAACACAUAGAAUUACCAUAUGAUACAGCAAUUCCAUUUCCAGGUAUAUACCCAAAAAGAACCGAAAGCAGGGACUUGAAUAAUAUUUGGACACUAAUUUUCAGAGCAACAUUCUUCACAAUAGCCAAAAGGUGGUAACAACCCAUGAACAGAUGAAUGGGUAAACAAAAUGUGGCGUAUACCUACAACAGAAUAGAGUUCAACCUGAAAAAAGAAUGAAAUUCUAACGCUACAACAUAAAUGCUCCCUGAUGACAUUAUGCUAAGUAAAUAAGCCAGUCAUUAAACAACAACAACAACAAAGACUGUAUGAUUCCACUUAUAUGGGUUACCUAGAGUAGUCAAAUUCAUAGAGACGAAAAGUAGAAUGGUGGCUCCCAGGAGCUGAAGGGAGGAGGAAAGGGUAGCUACUGUUUAAUGGGUACAGUUUCUCUUUGGGGAGAAGACAGAAUUCUGGAGAUGGACGUGAUGAUGGUUACACAGCAGUGUGAAUGUACUGAAUGCCACUAAACUGUACACUUUAAAAUGGUUAACAUAAAAUGGUAAAUUUUAUGUUAUAUAUAUAUAACCACAAUUUUUAAAAAUAAAUCCUUUUUAAAAAACAUGUAUGAUUAUUCUGGUAGCAGCAUCAGAGUCACUUUCUUCCUUCUAGUUUGCUGACUUCAGUUUGAAGAAUUUGCCUUCUUUGGUUUGCUGACUAAUGACCUGAAAGGGGCCUGGUCACUGGAGGGAGUAGGGAGAGCUGACUUGAGACUGAACAGGGGCUUGGGAAGAGCCGUCAAAGGGAUGAUCCCCCCGCAGAUAAACAGAGUGUGGAGAAAGCGCCAGAAUUACUGUCAUCUUUUAUGGCUCACUCGGAUAGCUUGGAGCCGAUUAUGUCACCCAGUGGGGAAAGAUCAGCUUUUCUGCUGGCCCAGUGCUGGGAGCUCUUGG
rnacentral:lncRNA from 10 species